rnacentral:rRNA from 1 species
AUGGCUCAGAUUGAACGCUAGCGGGAUGCCUUACACAUGCAAGUCGAACGGCAGCACGGACUUCGGUCUGGUGGCGAGUGGCGAACGGGUGAGUAAUGUAUCGGAACGUGCCUAGUAGCGGGGGAUAACUACGCGAAAGCGUAGCUAAUACCGCAUACGCCCUACGGGGGAAAGCAGGGGAUCGCAAGACCUUGCACUAUUAGAGCGGCCGAUAUCGGAUUAGCUAGUUGGUGGGGUAACGGCUCACCAAGGCGACGAUCCGUAGCUGGUUUGAGAGGACGACCAGCCACACUGGGACUGAGACACGGCCCAGACUCCUACGGGAGGCAGCAGUGGGGAAUUUUGGACAAUGGGGGAAACCCUGAUCCAGCCAUCCCGCGUGUGCGAUGAAGGCCUUCGGGUUGUAAAGCACUUUUGGCAGGAAAGAAACGUCAUGGGUUAAUACCCCGUGAAACUGACGGUACCUGCAGAAUAAGCACCGGCUAACUACGUGCCAGCAGCCGCGGUAAUACGUAGGGUGCAAGCGUUAAUCGGAAUUACUGGGCGUAAAGCGUGCGCAGGCGGUUCGGAAAGAAAGAUGUGAAAUCCCAGAGCUUAACUUUGGAACUGCAUUUUUAACUACCGAGCUAGAGUGUGUCAGAGGGAGGUGGAAUUCCGCGUGUAGCAGUGAAAUGCGUAGAUAUGCGGAGGAACACCGAUGGCGAAGGCAGCCUCCUGGGAUAACCACUGACGCU